GNGGAGCAAACAGGAUUAGAUACCAUGGUAGUCCACGCCGUAAACGAUGUCGACUUGGAGGUUGUGCCCUUGAGGCGUGGCUUCUGGAGCUAACGCGUUAAGUCGACCGCCUGGGGAGUACGGCCGCAAGGUUAAAACUCAAAUGAAUUGACGGGGGCCCGCACAAGCGGUGGAGCAUGUGGUUUAAUUCGAUGCAACGCGAAGAACCUUACCUGGUCUUGACAUCCACGGAAGUUUUCAGAGAUGAGAAUGUGCUUUCGGGAACCGUGAGACAGGUGCUGCAUGGCUGUCGUCAGCUCGUGUUGUGAAAUGUUGGGUUAAGUCCCGCAACGAGCGCAACCCUUAUCCUUUGUUGCCAGCGGUCCGGCCGGGAACUCAAAGGAGACUGCCAGUGAUAAACUGGAGGAAGGUGGGG
rnacentral:rRNA from 1 species